UGGUGGAUGCAUGGAUCCUGAUGUGAGCUGGGCGGGCGGGCGGGCGGUCAUCCUCAUGUCAUGUCCCGAAGAUUUCGAGUAGGACUUGACAGCUGGUGAUGGAGAUGAAUUUGAAGGCGAUAAGAGUGGACAGCAUUGGCAGAGUUUUGGACAGUGGACAAAACGGACUUCGCAGCCACAGAACAACAUGAGUCACUUCUCUUCUGCUACAACGUCAUCUUCUUCUUCUGCUACUACUGAUACAGCUACUGUUACUGCUUCUACUGUUACUGCUGCUACUACUGUUGCUGCUGCUUCUUCUGUGCUGAGAAAUCCACACUUUUGAACGUUUCUAGCUGAUUGCUGAUCAUUGCAGUAAUAAGGUGUUACAUCUGUGAGUUCACUUAGAUUAUGAUGAUUAUCUUUUUUUCUUCUUCUUCUUCUUCUUCUUCUUCUUACUAACAAAUUUUGUAUUGAUAUAGGGUGAUUGUUUAUUGCAUUGUUAUAGCAAAUAUUAUUUUCAUUUAGUAGACUAUAAUAAUAUGAAAUCUUUCACAUGACAUUCAAAAAUUUGGAGGAUUCAAAGCAAGAAUUUUUCUCUCUUAUUCAUGAAAUGGAGGUGCAAUAUUCAAGCAUAGACAUUUAGUAAUAGACAAAAGUCGGUGGAGUUUUGCAGAGCUUGAGGUACGUUUAGUCGUGUAAACAAUUGUAGAUAAAUUUGUAUGAGAUUCAAGGGUGAUUAGGCCUAUAGAAAGAUUGGAAUCGAAUAUAUUGCAGCUCAUAGAAAAUGAUUGAAUAAGGAGAUUGAUCAUACUUGUGAUUUUGACAUGUAUCUCAUGCAAAUGUAUUUUAUAUUUGUAUACAAGUCUUGACGUACCUUGAAAUGUAUAAUUGGAGAAGUGGAGCUGUGCAUGUAUACUAAGGUAGGUGAUAACCUCAUCGUGGAACACAUGCCGCCGAUUAUGCACAUCUCUGAAUCACCGCCACCUGUCUAUUUAUUUAUUAUUCAUUUACAAUAUUACAACAGAACAGUCUACAACUAUUGGACCAGAGAUCCAUAGACAUUAGACAAAGUUUUAUGCAGAACAAUAUUGUUAGGUAGUUGAGACCUUUACACAAAUGUACAAAUUUACAAAAUGAUUAUUGUGAGGUACUCGUUAUAAUUGGCAGUAUUUGAUCAACAUUGGUGCUUGUCUAUCAUUCGACAAAGCAGAUAGCGCCAUCUUUUUCUAGCUCUGCAACGUUGCCAGAUCGUUUUUAACAAUGAAUAAAUAUAAUUAAUUUAAAUAUAAUUAAUGAUUAUUAAUAAUCAUUGAAAAACAUAUUGACAAAUGAAAUAUAAAUUAUUGAUUAUUGUAAUCAAGAUAAUAUAACAUCAGAUAUACUAGUAUCAGCUAUUCUUUUUAGAAGGCAGUGGCAAGACAGAGAAUUGGCAACGCUGUUCCUCCUAUCUUUCUUCACUGCCAUAAUAGCGUGGACCUCAUUAUAGUAAAAUAGACGGGUAGCCUACCUCUCUACAAAAACAAGAUUUAGUCGAGUAUCCAGGCUGUUACAAGUUGCAAAUUUAUUCUUUCAGUUUUAUUUUAAUACAUUUCAUAUCUUGUAUUUGUUGGCAGAAUUGACGUUUGAUUAAAGUUUUAGAGGAAAAAUUUCUUGGUGAUGAAGUAAGUUGUAGAAGUAAGAAUGUUUUGAUCGUUUGCUGAAAACGUAGUCUCAGAAGCAGAAAUGUUUUGGUAUUUGCUAAAACCGUAAUUUCAUAAACAUGAACUUGAACAUGAGUUCAAUUAUUGCUUCAAUUGAAUAUUUUUGAAACUUGUCAAUUACCUGGUUACAGUAUUUUUGAAUGAUUUUAGUGACUUUAGCUCUGGAGGUGUUGAACUAUUUCAAUAAUUUAAAAAUUGUUACAUUCGUGGAAUGGUUUAUUUAAGUUUGAUUCUGUUGAGAAAGCAGUACCUCUCAGGCUACAGUAAUGUGCUUCAAAUUGAUUCGAAUACAGUAAAAGUGUUACAAUUUCCAUUAAAGUGUUUGUUGUAGCAUUUUUGCUGUAAAUUCCUUUAUCCUUGAAUCGGUUGGUGUGAGAAUAAUAAAUUAUUUCUGAUUUGGUUGUUUUGCAAUAAUUUUUUCCUUCAUUUUGAAUCUGUUUGAAACACAUCACUGCUUAUUCGAAAUUGAUGCAAAAUUGAGUGUUUUAUUCAGUGCUUUGAGUUGUCACAAUAUCAGUGGAGUAGUUUUUCAAUAUGGAGUCGUUUUUCAAUACAAACAUUAUUAAUUGACCAUUAGUUGAAUGGUUAAUGAGAGAUUACUCUCAGUCAACAGUAAUGCGUAUCAAAUUAAUUCCAAUACAGUAAAAGUGUUGCAAUCAUUUACAUUCUAAUAAUACUGUUGAGUGAAUAUUGUAGCAUUUUUACUGUAUAUUCCUUUAUCCUUGAAUUGGUUGGUGAGAGAGAAUAAUAAAUGAUUUGUGGCUCUGGUUGUUUUUCAAUCAUUUUUCCUUCAGAAUCAGUUUGAAACGCACUACUGUUGGCUUGAAAAUGAUCAAAGAUGGAGUGUCCUCCUCAUUUUGUCUGUUUUUUAAAAUGAAAGUGAUAUUCAGGCUACCAUAUGCUUACUAUUUCCAGUACUACGCAUGCGCUGUCAAGUGUUACAUUCUCAAAUUGAAGUAUAGCGAAGAUUGAAGGAAAUUGUGAUGAUGCUCAUUCUCUGACAAGUAAUGGCGGCACAUGUUUUACUUGACAGAUGCAUACGACUUGUUUGAAGCACAAGGCACAGUAUCAAUCAAAUAAGGAUGUUUAUAUUAUAAGUUGAGUGUGAUAAUUGAUUUAAAUUGUUGAACAACAUUGUUGGGUUGUGAUCCUACAUGGAGCUGGCUGCAACCCAACAUGUCUUCUUUGAAUCCUCCAAUAUUUCAAACUGGAAUUAUU